rnacentral:lncRNA from 1 species
ACUACUGUUAGUAGCAAAUUUCAUUGUUGCUACCAGUUUUUUAGCUUUGGAUCAACCCUUUUCAUUAUUUCUAAUCAUUGAUUAAAUAGUAUAACCCAGUGGGAACCACUCAAUUCUAACGACUAAUAUCAUUCCGACCCUACAAUUUUUCAUUCAAGGGUUAAAAAUUUGAUAGCAAAAAAAGCGUUUUAACUAUUAAUAGUAUUCCAGCCUAAUUAUAUAUAUAUA